AUUCCAGCUCCAAUAGCGUAUAUUAAAGUUGUUGCAGUUAAAAAGCUCGUAGUUGGAUUUGUGGUUGAGCUGUCCGGUCCGACACUUUUGUGUGGGUACUUGGACGGCUCGUCCAUCCUUGGGUGGAAUCUGUGUGGCAUUAGGUUGUCGUGCAGGGGAUGCCCAUCUUUUACUGUGAAAAAAUUAGAGUGUUCAAAGCAGGCUUAUGCCGUUGAAUAUAUUAGCAUGGAAUAAUGAGAUAGGACCUUGGUACUAUUUUGUUGGUUUGCGCACCGAGGUAAUGAUUAAUAGGGACAGUUGGGGGUAUUCGUAUUCCAUUGUCAGAGGUGAAAUUCUUGGAUUUUUGGAAGACGAACUACUGCGAAAGCAUUUACCAAGGAUGUUUUCAUCG
rnacentral:rRNA from 1 species